GGGGAUGUAGCUCAAUGGUAGAGCAUCGCCCUUUUAAGGCGGUGGUUGAAGGUUCGAGCCCUUCCAUCCUCA
rnacentral:tRNA from 1 species